rnacentral:miRNA from 1 species
UCACCGGGUGGAAAUCAGUUAG